AGUGAACGCUGGCGGUAGGCCUAACACAUGCAAGUCGAACGGCAGCACAGUAAGAGCUUUCUCUUACGGUUGGCGAGUGGCGGACGGGUGAGGAAUACAUCGGAAUCUACUUUUUCGUGGGGGAUAACGUAGGGAAACUUCCGCUAAUACCUCAUACGACCUACGGGUUAAAUCAGUGGAUCUUCGGACCUUGCGCGAUUCAAUGAGCCGAUGUCGGAUUAGCUAGUUGGCGGGGUAAAGGCCCACCAAGGCGACGAUCCGUAGCUGGUCUGAGAGGAUGAUCAGCCACACUGGAACUGAGACACGGUCCAGACUCCUACGGGAGGCAGCAGUGGGGAAUAUUGGACAAUGGGCGCAAGCCUGAUCCAGCCAUACCGCGUGGGUGAAGAAGGCCUUCGGGUUGUAAAGCCCUUUUGUUGGGAAAGAAAAGCAGCAGGUUAAUACCCCGCUGUUCUGACGGUACCCAAAGAAUAAGCACCGGCUAACUUCGUG
rnacentral:rRNA from 1 species